CAGAUGAUCUUUGGAGAAGUUGGAUGAGGGGAUCCUGUGAAGAUCUCAGAAGAUACUUUGGCAAAAACUGAGAGCUGAGAGAGCGGGGUAGGAAUGAGGGGAGGAACAAUGAACCUUUAAAGGUGAACUAGAAGACAGCUGAUAGCUGAAGUGAUUUAGAUAAAUAAAAGGCUAUGACACCUGUGGAGCUGGGGAGCCCCACGAGGCACUGAAAUGGAUGGCUUUCUAAAGUGAAGCUCCAGUACCAAGAAGUGGGAAACACCGCUUUCUAUGAGGGUUUACUUCACUGUGACAAUCAAAGACGUUGGUGGGUACCUGCUACUGGAAAAGCUGCUUCUGGCCAAGAGCAAGCUGGUGGACUCAGAAACUUUCACAGAGCUGGACUGAGGCUGUGGAAUUCACAAAAGAUUAGGGAACCUAUGGAGAUUCCAGGAAGGCCAAAGAAUUUGUCACAGGAAGAAGAGCCUACAGAGAAAAACUGUAGCACCAUAAGAGGCAGUGCUUUCCCUAAUGUCAAAAUUGACUCUCAGAAAGAAAAAGGUGAAUGAAUUGCAACAUAGAAAUUCUGUCCAAGAUGGUCAUAGAUGCUGCUCUGAGCCACAGGAUGAAGGAAUAGAAAACAACACCCAACUUCACACAAAAUGAAAGUAGUCUAUGACACCUCUUUUGAAUGAGCCUAAUCUCCCAGAAACACACUACUGAAAAAAAGAAAGGGAAAUAAUACUUAGCGAUUUUGUGUGGGCUCAGAAAUGAAGAAGCCUUGAUGUGGCCAUUGUCAGCUAUUCUGACGGGAAAUAUUUGCUACUUUAAAAAAAAUUCAGCAUAGGUGAAUUUUGGUACAUUUUUGUCCCAUACGCUGAUGAGAAAAGUAGAAUUGUUCAUCUCUGAAUUCAUGUAUUUAUUCAAUUUACAAAGGUCAGCACGAAGGCAUGAAACACAGAGCCUUCACCACAGCCUCCCUUUUCCCUGGUUACAUCUCAUGAGAUUGAGAGGCAUUUCUUAAUAUAUUACAGUAUGCAGAAAAACACAAGUGCAACCACUAACAAAAGCCACAUUAGAUGCAUGGAACAUUAGGCAGCUUUCCACUGACAUACACAGAACUCAAGGUCCUUGUUCUUGCUGGAAUAAUAUACAAAGACAGGCAAUAAUUUUAUAGUAUUUUGAAGAUGGAAAUAUCACUUUGAGCAUAACAUAUAUGAUGUACAUGGAAGCUACAUUUAAAUACACAAACAUCUCACGUUAGCAGAAGCAUAUGUAGAGGCCAUGUAAGUCUCUAACACAGCACUUCCAAACAUACAGGCUGCAACCUCAGGAAGGCAUGAUGACAAUUCUGUUUCUGUGCUAAGCCAGAAGUUCGAUUUGCAUCCACAUGUAAAGCUGCAACUGGAAAGGAUUUGGGAACUGGUAUUCUAGUUGUAAAAUCCAACUCUGCAAGUUCCAGCAAUGGCUCGAGAUUGAGUGCAUGUGUGCUCAUGUGUGUGUGAUUCAUGUCACUUGUUCUCCACCUGCUGGUGGCAUUUUUAAGGCCUAUAAACCCUAAUGCCCCUGCUAUGAGUGAUGUGGAGGUUACCACUAGUUAACCUCAUAAAAAUUUGCAAUCAGCUAAUUGGAAAAUUCUAAUUAAGCCUGCACUCAUGGUGCAGACAUCCGCAUAUGAAAGACACUCAGCUUCCCCAUCUGACCGGCCUGCUUGCCACUGGAGAGCAGCAAUCAGGUUGGUUGAGCUUCGCUUUCCCCAUCAUUGGAGCACGAUGGCCUGGACGACUGCACUGAUGGCUGGCUUUCUGAGGGCUGAUUUUUCUCCUGCAGCCACCCAUGGUUCCUUAGUUCCAGCUGCCUCUUCAGCCAUGGUCCCUGUUCUCACUAAUCAACAUUUCAGAAACAAAAUGAAUGAAGGUGAACACAACUAUCAUUAGGAAAAACGAUGACAAUUAAACAUAAUUAAUAAACACUCUUAUUACAGGGCAUAUGCAUGCUGUGUGUCUAAACUGGACUGAGUCUGAAAAUUAGCACACCUCAUUACCCAAAUGAAUUGGAAUUACACAGCACAACUUCCACUAUUAAUACAGCUUAAAGAAAUCCACCAUUUUUUCUCGUGUAUAUCUGUUUCCAGAAAAUGAUGUGCUUUUUUAGUCAAAGAAUAUUAGAAUGAACAUUGCUAAUCACAUCAGUCCAGAUGGCUGGCUCUCUUCUUGCCAAGUGGCAGUAUUGUAACCUAUUUAAUGUGCAAUUUACAUAAGCUCCAUGUUAAUAAAGAUCCAUGAGUUU
ensembl:lncRNA